UGCGAUUGAAAGAGAGUAUAUCAAUUAAAGGAACAAGGUCCAUCAUCAAAACUAACAUCAAACGAGUCUAAACAUGAAUUUCAAAUGUUCCAAAAUUUCAAAAUCACAUGAAAGCAAUUCAUUUGCAUACAAAAAUAAAGUACACAGAAAGCACAACUACAAUAAUAUCGCCGAUCAUCUCUUCAAGCAACAAGAGUGCUGGCAGUUGUUGAUUCGCUGCAAUAGUGGAAAAACCAAACAAGUAUUAGAAAUGAAAUGCAAAAUGACAAUUCCUUAAUUAAGAACAAAAAUAAGAAAGAAUAACAAAAACUCUAAAAUGAAGUAACACAUUAAGCAGAAAUUCCAUAGCUGAUCGUAAUAAAUUGAUUAAUGUCACAAGGAAUAUGAUACAAAAAUUAAGAUAGAGAAUACUGACUGGCAUGUGAGACUUGUUUAAAGAUAAAAUGUGGCAUAAUAAUGCAUUUGGAAAAGCUUGUUUAAACUUAUCUCAUGGUGAACAAUUAUAUUACAGUUUGGACAUACCUAAAAUAAUUACUUAUGAGAUUUCCUAAACUUAUAUCAACUUACUUCCACAAGCUACAAAAAUAUAGCUUACAAAUAAGCACUUAGAAGUUAAUUAGCUUAUUUAAAGGUUAAUAUAAAUAAUAGCAAACAUGAAAAGACGAGCAUUUAAACCCAAGAAAAUUUAGGCAUUCAAAACCAAGCAAAUAAAGAAAUUCAGUAUCCUUGCAAAUCAAUCAAGCCUAUAAAUCUUUAAAAAACUGUCAUUUAGAGAUGAUGAAGACUGAAUACUUACUAUUUCCAUACUGGUGGAAGCUUCUUUGUCUUCUUAUAGUAACGAGCAAGGCGAUGGAUCCUGCUCUCGACCAAAAUUAGCCUGAACUUGGAAUCCUUGUCCUUCCUGUUCCUCUCCAAAUGCUUCCUAAUAGAGACAGCCUUCUUGAUCAGGUGAUACAGAUCUUCAGGAAUUUCAGGAGCAAGUCCUAGCAUAAGAGAAAUUAAAGAAUAGUUAAGUCAUCAAAUUCAAAACACUAUACGCAAAUCAAGUUAAAUCGAACAAACAAACGAGCAAGUCAGCAUACCAUGCGCCUUCAAUAUGCGCAAAAUCUUGUUUCCGGUUACAGCCUUAACCUGAGCAAUUCCAUGGGAGUCACGAAGAAUAACACCAAUUUGAGAUGGAGUUAGACCUUUCUUGGCAAACUUGCAGAUGGUCUCGUCAACCUGUGCAAUUCAUGAAUAUCAGAAAAUGGAAAUCAUGAUUGCAGCAGAAUUUACACCCAGAUGCCCACAACAUUAACAUAAUAAGCAUAAUAAUCUAAUAAGGAAAUUGAAGAUUAUUUAAUAAUAUACAAUCAAAACCAACGUUUACAGACCACAAAAAAGUGGCAUGUUUGAAUUUUACAACACUAAAGUGCCUCUAUAGCUACUACAAGAAUGUUAACCAGAGUGCUGCACGGGGUAUAUCGGUUGUUUUCGUUUCUAUUUGAUUAAUUCUUUGGAAUGUACUAAGUGCUUACAAAGAACUUUCUGAAUGAGACAACCUAAACAUAAAAUUGACAUAAAGAACUUCCUGUCAAGGAUGACUUCAUAACAAAAAAUUAACAACAGAAAGAUACUGAAUAGCGAUGAUAAUAAAAGCAAAAAAUUUGAUAUAUCAAACAGAAAAUCCCAACUUUUGAUACAUACAUUUUAAAGGUCAAAUCAAUUAAAAAAAACUAAGAUAAAAUCCAAAAAAAAGUAUUCUAAAUUGAUCAAGUAAUCUGACAAAAUCAAUGAGUUAGAAAACAAAUGUAAACCAAGUAAUAACAAUUAAUGAUGAGAACCAUUGAAAACCCAAUUUUCAUCCCCAGAAGCUGUAAUGCUAUACGGUAACCCCACAUCACUUCAUACCCCAAUUUAGACAACACAUGAAAAUAAAUUAUCAAUUAAUUAAAGAAAACAGGAAAAAAGUGCAAAAAAUCAAAAGCGGGUUUUAGAUAAUGAAAAGAAAAGGGCUCAGAAAAAUAAUGGGUAUGAGAAAAUUAUCAGCACUGGAAUAUCAGAGUGGUGCAUGACUAUCUCUAUGAUUCAUCAUAGCCCAUAAAGUAAACAACACAGCAUACAAAAGAGCAUAUUACAGAACAAUAGAGAUUUGUUUAAUUUUCACAACGCUAUAGAGCCGCUAAAGCAUCAAUUUGAAAACACUGAUCAGAACUAAAAUCCAACUCACAUGACCAUGUCAAUUUAUAAUUUAAAUGCACUCGGCUUAGGCUCUUUCAAUGAAUCAAUUGAAUAAACCAGACUAUGUUAAAAAAAAAAACACAAUUUCAAUUUUUUCAGUUACAAUUACACUUACUGAUCUAUUAAUAUGAAUCAGAUAUGUCAAAAUGAAGAUAAAAUGCCAAUGUUUUUGCUAGAGUUACCUUGCCAAACACAGUUCUAUUGUUUUCGUCACAAUAUAAAAAGUAAUACUAAAUCAUGUAUCGAAAAUACAAAAACAAUUGAUGCCACUAAAGUGAUUAAUGAAAGACAAAAUUAAUUGAGAUUGUGAUGAAAAUCAAUAAAGUUAAGUGUAUAGUACUGUUUGAAUUGGCUUGAGCUUUCCUACUGACAUAAGCUUUAUGAUACUCUCAGGGAGAAUCUAUGAAAACAGCUUAUGACUAAAUUCACAAGCUUUUUUCAACUUAUUGUCAUAGGUCUUAUAUAACAGCCUAUAGCACAUUCAAAACAAUUAAAAUGAUUUUAUUUUUUACUAUAAAAAAAAAAAAAAAAAAAAAACUACUGCAAGAUUAUACUUAAGGCUUAUUCAUCACGAUAAGCUGUAAAACAAACAAUCACUUAAACCGAGUAUCAAAAAACUAAAUCACUUAAAAGAAAAAAUCAUUGAAAUUCAAAAUUUCAUAACCAAGUAAAACAAAAAAUCAAACACACAUUAACAAAUCACACAUUAAAAAUCUCAUAAAAACAAAAAACCAUAAAUUUAUAAAAAUAAAAACACAAAAUAAACAAAAAUUACAGAUUUACAAUUAACAGAAACAAUUUUCCAGCAUUUAACAAGAAACCCAAUAAAAAUAAAAUCAGAUAAAUUCAAAAUUAAAAAAUUAAUAAAAGGGGUUUUGAUUUUCAUACAUCCUGGGUAGAGAUCUUGAGCCAGCUUGCUGGUGUUCUCUUGUAAGGAAGAGCUGAACUUGAAAUACCCUUUCUGAAACACAAAAACAACGUUAGACAAACAAAAACAAAACAUUAAGUGAUUUUGAGGAAUCUAUCAAUCUAAACAAAAUCGAAGGAAAAAAAACAUACCCGCCACUGUGCAUACGACCCAUGGUGAAUGAUUGAGAUGAGGAAGAAGAACAAAGGCUCUAACUACUACGCUUCGCUGCUGCUUGAGCU
rnacentral:lncRNA from 1 species